CCAAAGCUGGCGACCGGCGCACGGGUGAGUAACACGUAUCCAACCUGCCUCAUACUCGGGGAUAGCCUUUCGAAAGAAAGAUUAAUAUCCGAUAGCAUAUAUUUCCCGCAUGGGUUUUAUAUUAAAGAAAUUCGGUAUGAGAUGGGGAUGCGUUCCAUCAGUUUGUUGGGGGGUAACGGCCCACCAAGACUACGAUGGAUAGGGGUUCUGAGAGGAAGGUCCCCCACAUUGGAACUGAGACACGGUCCAA
rnacentral:rRNA from 1 species